AGCGAACGCUGGCGGUAUGCUUAACACAUGCAAGUCGAGCGCGAAAGUGACUUCGGUCAUAAGUAGAGCGGCGGACGGGUGAGUAACACGUGGAUAAUCUGCCUUUAGGACUGGGAUAACCCUGGGAAACUAGGGCUAAUACCGGAUAAGACCACAGGUUCCAUGGAACCAGGGGUAAAAGGCGGCCUUCGGCUGUCGCCGAAAGAUGAGUCCGCGUCCCAUCAGGUAGUUGGUGAGGUAACGGCUCACCAAGCCGAAGACGGGUAGCCGACCUUAGCGGGUGAUCGGCCACACGGGGACUGAGACACGGCCCCGA
rnacentral:rRNA from 1 species